rnacentral:tRNA from 1 species
CCGGGCAUGCGGGAACGGGUCAGCCUGUUGAACGGUGAGUUCAGCGCCGGUCCCGGGCCGGUGGGCGGGUUCCGGGUCGCUGCCCGGA